rnacentral:rRNA from 1 species
CCCUUAGAUAUCCUAGGCUGCACGCGAGCUACAAUGGUAUAUAUAAAAGGUUGCUGCUCUGAGAAGACUGGCAAUACCCUGAUAUAUAUCGUAUUUGGAAUAGAUUUUUGUAAUUAUCAAUCUUGAACGAGGAAUUCCUAGUAAAAAUAUUUCAUCAUAAUGUUUUGAUUGUGUCCCUGCCCUUUGUACACACCGCCCGUCGCUCCUACCGAUUGAAUAUUCCGGUGAGAAGAUAGGAGAAAAAUCUUUUGAUUUUUUGAAUAUUUUUGAACCUUGAUAUUUAGAGGAAGGAGAANUCGUANCA